rnacentral:sRNA from 1 species
CCCUGUUCUACCUUUCUGAUAUGGCAUCCCUACAUCAACUGUUACAAAACAAGAAGCGGCACUGGUAUUUUCAUAAAUAGAAAUGAAAAUAUCAAGAUAAAAAAAUUAAAAAUAAAAGCAAAUCAAAUUGCCAAACAAAAAAAAACUGCCAUUACAAAAAGGCCCAUAAACAUAAAGUGCGUAUUAUUCCGCUUUCUAGUAAUGAGGGCCUUCAGUGCUACUGAAUGAAUGUCUAAAAAAUGUAAACACGAAAAAUAUUGAUUUUCGUCGCGAAAAGCGAACUUGGUACAAACCUUUAUACACUAAUUUGUGGUCAACUGACGGAGGUGCGGUGGGAAUGUACCCCUAAAAUAAUCCUAAUACAAAGAUCAGAACAAAUUAAUAUGGUGUAUUCUAAAUUUCACAUUCCCUUUCACCCUUUGAACAACUUUCUAUUGUCACAAUUACGUCAACUUGGUCUCACACCGUUAAAGCCUCACAUAUUUUAUUGCUUGUAGGUGUACUGUGGCAUUAAUUUACAGCACUUAAAAAUACAACUCAUUGUCUUUAAUCGAGUAGUACGAUAUAUUUUUGGACUCAAAUUAAGUGGCCAUGUGUCUGAUCGCUAGAGAAUUUCUCCACUGCUCUUUUAAACAUUUUUUGAUAAUAAAACAUAUAUUGUCAUUGUACCAUUUAAAGACAACCCAAGAACCUUGAGAA